UGCCGCAACUAACAUUCCACUUUUGACAACAAACCAGUUUUCUAGCUGCUAAAAUUAAACAUUCUGGAGAGAGAUGAUCUUAUAUAAAAUUCACCAGUGUAUAUAUGCAUCAUAUCCUAUGAGAUGAAUGAGGAACAGUGUGUGGUAUCUGCCAUUGUGACCACCUAUAUGUGGCAAAAGCGCAAGCGGCAAUUAGCUUAGCUUAGCUUAGUGCGUUUAAAACGAAAUAAUAAUAAUGAAACACUCACUUUUUGUGAGCUCCUAUCUCAGUAAGCGUCACCAUCAGUAGCUGCGUUUACAUGGACAACAAUAAUCCAAUCUUAACCCGAUUAAGACCAUACUUUGAUUAAGAAACUACCAUGUAAACAGCAAUUUUUUCUUACCUUAAUCUAAUAAAAGUCAUACUCGAAUUAAGCUCUAAUCGAAUUAAGACAUGUGGAGUACUCCUGUUUUAGUCGCAUUAUGGACAUGUAUUACAGACAUGUGAACACCUUAAUCACAUUAUGAACGUCGUGUAAGAGUUUUCACCGCAUUUUGCUACAGGACACAAUCACACACGGCAGUUAUCAACAUUUUACGGCGAACAAGAGAGUUCGGCUGUGUCUGAAACCGCAUACUUGCCUACUACAGGCCUGUAGUGGGGAAAAAUACAUGUAUCUCGGCUACUAUAUAGACGGUAAGUACGCGGUUUGAGACGCAGCCCACGGCUUCAAGCAGUUGUCUAUUAGCACGUAUAGCAUGACAAAUAAUUAACUGCACCUAAAGCAUUCGUAAAAAAAUUAAAUAAAAACACCCAAAACUGUAUACGGUACCAUAACGAAGACAAACUAUAUGUUGAUACGUGAAAUUCUGGAGGGACGUCGGACGGCGUGGCGCGGUGACGUAAUGACGCGGGCUUUUAAUCUAAUUAUGAUCUAUAACAUGUAAAACGGGAAUAUGACAGGAGUAUUCUAAAAGCGACUCAUGUAAACACCUUAAUCACAUUAUUAUCUUAAUCACAGUAAGGUCAAUAAUUAGAUUACUGCUGUCCAUGUAAACGUAGUCACUGUGUCAUUGGCUAUAUGUUUGAUAGCGACCGGGAGCCGGAUUGCAGCUCUUCGGUCAUGGUCUCUGUGUUUCCAAGGUGAAGUGUCCGGCUUGGUGCUGCACGUUCCCAGGUGCUAAAGCAGCACAAGCCGGACAUAUCACCCAAGAUAGGAGCUACACUGGGAUUUUGCUCGAUUGCAACAAAAAAGGCUAUAUGAUGUUGAUACCCAUCUUUUCACACUGAGGACAACUGAGGGACUUGUACACAACUAUUACAUAAGGUUCAAACAUUCACUGAUGCUCAAGAAGGCAACACAAAACAUUAAGAGCCAGGGGGAUGUAAACAUUUUAACAGGAUAAUCAGUGUAAAAAAAUAUGUAGAAGAUGGUGGAAAAGUAAAGAGUGUGCAGGACCUGGAGGAUUUUUCUGAAGAACAGUGGGCAGUUUAACUGCUCAGGACAAACAAGGGACUCAUGAACAACUAUCACAAAACAAACACAGUCGUUGAUCAUCCAGGUAAUGACACACGGGAUUAAGAAUCAAGGUUUCCCCCAUUCUUCUUUGCAGGACCUCUCAAGCUCCAUCAGGUUGGAUAGGGAGCGUCGGUGCACAGACAUUUUCAGAUCUCUCCAGAGAUGUUUAAUCAGGUUCAAGUCUGGGCUCUGGCUGGGCCACUCAAGGACAUUCACAGAGUUGUCCUGUAGCCACUCCUUUGUUAUCUUGGCUGUGUGCUUAGGGUCGUUGUCCUGUUGGAAGAUGAACCUUCACCCCAGUCUGAGGUCCAGAGUGCUCUGGAGCAGGUUUUCAUCAAGGAUGUCUCUGUACAUUGCUGCAUUCAUCUUUCCCUCGAUCCUGACUAGUCUCCCAAUUCCUGCCACUGAAAAACAUCCCCACAGCAUGAUGCUGCCACCACCAUGCUUCACUGUAGGGAUGGUAUUGGCCAGGCGAUGACUGGUGCCUGGUUUCCUCCAGACAUGACACUUGCCAUUCAGGCCAAAGAGUUCAAUCUUUGUUUCAUCAUGGUCUGAGAGUCCUUCAGGUGCCUUUUGGCAAACUCCAGGCAGGCGAUCAUGUGCCUUUUACUGAGGAAUGGCUUCCGUCUGGUCACUAUACCAUACAGGCCUCACAUGCAUUGUUAACUGUGGGACCUUAUAUAGACAGGUGUGUGCCUUUCCAAAUCAUGUCCAAUCAACUGAAUUUACCACAGGUGGACUCCAAUCAAGUUGUAGAAACAUCUCAAGGGUGAUCAGUGGAAACAGGAUGCACCUGAGCGCAAUUUUGAGUGUCAUGGCAAAGGGUGUGAAUACUUAUGUACAUGUGCUUUUUUUGUUUUUUAUUUUUAAUAAAUUUGCACAGAUUUCAAACAAACUUCUUUCACGUUGUCUUUAUGGGGUAUUGUUUGUAGAAUUUUGAGGAAAAUAAUGAAUUUAAUCCAUAUUGGAAUAAGGCUGUAACAUAACAAAAUGUGGAAAAUGAGAAGCGCUGUGAAUACUUUCCGGAUGCACUGUAUAUAUGUAUAUAUAUUGUAUUAGCUGUUAAUUUUGUAUCUGUUUGCACCUCUUCCAGUAAAUAAUAUAUAUAGAAAAUAUGACAAAUAUUUUAAAGGCCUAGAUGUUAUCAGUUGGUGCCCCCCAUUGGCUGGUGCCCCAGGGCACUCUCCCAAUCCUAUAUAUGGAUAAUCCAGCCUUGAACAUACACACAUGUAAAGCACUGCUUAAGAUAGAUUGCACAUAGACAGCAAAACUAGAAAGCAGAACACACUUGGACAUAGACGAGGAAGUGAAAAACAGAUCAGCGGAUGUAAGUAUGUUUAGGCAGAUGUGACUGUACUGGCCGCACUGCAGUAUAUAAUGUUAUUUAAGUUAUUCCCUUUUUGUCUCAGAAACCUAACAAGUAAAACAACCUUGAGGUUUUUGAGUGUUUUUGAUUUCUGCAUCUAAGUGUAAUGUAAUGAAACAAUACGUAGUGCCUACCAAGACACCUCUUCACCCCAAUCUCCAAAGCAAUUAUAUCUAAUUAAAACCAUUCAAAUGUUAACAGGGAAAAGAGCAAACUAACUAAAAGUUACAACUUUAGCUCCUGAAUGCAGGGGCUUGACAAAGCAGUUGUGGAGAGACUUUUUUUUCUAACUGGAGGAGAGGCUGUCGUGGGAAGGUUCUUCAUUAAGCAGCACAGGACUAAAGAGGUUCUUCAUUAGCAGUGUUAGUAGCUAACGAUCACAUAGGAGGGAGGCAGGUUUAUCACCCCAACCAGAGUGCAGUUGCCCCACAGCUACAUGUAAGUGAUGAAAAACAUUUUCCUGAUUUCUGAAUUAUGUAAAGGGAUGGAACCAAAUGCAAUUUUUUUUUUUUGGAUUGAACAGAAAAUGUGUUCUGAACAAAUACAAAUACAACUUUUUUUAAAUCAUUAGUUUGCUACAUAUUUCUAUACAAACACAUCCAAAAUUCAGAAGAGAUAUAUGAUUUUAUUUAUAGACCCUCAACUCCAUAUCGCCUCUAUUUUG